rnacentral:rRNA from 1 species
UACGUAGGGUGCGAGCGUUGUCCGGAAUUAUUGGGCGUAAAGAGCUCGUAGGCGGUUUGUCGCGUCGGCCGUGAAAACUUGGGGCUUAACCCCGAGCCUGCGGUCGAUACGGGCAGACUUGAGUUCGGCAGGGGAGACUGGAAUUCCUGGUGUAGCGGUGAAAUGCGCAGAUAUCAGGAGGAACACCGGUGGCGAAGGCGGAUCUCUGGGCCUUACCUGACGCUGAGGCACGAAGGUCAGGGGAGCAAACGGG